AGCAAACAUCGUCGGUGGAAGCUUCUUUGCCAAGAUUAGUAAAAUCUAAUAAGAAAAUAUAUUAACAAGUCAAGCAAUUAAUAUAUUAUUUAACCAUCUUAAACAAUACAAUAAAAUUUAUUAAAAUAUACAUACCUUCCUCAAGUGUCUCAAGAAAUCUAAAUCUUCCUCAAUAUUUACAGGAAGUGAUUCACUCCGAAGCCAAUCUUGAAGCCAAUCUGGUUGACGAUCCUCGCAAACAUGGAAGCUUCAAAUCCAACUGUCAUGAUCCUAAAAAACAGCUAAGCUGACACUGCAACUGUUAAGGAUGUUCAAAAGAGCAACAACAAGAAACCUGCACAGAUUUCUCCAGAAAAGGAUGCUACAUUGCAGUCCCUGGAUCCUGAAAAAACAGUAACAAAUCUUGCAGUGUCAACUGUUCUAGUAGGGGAGAAUCAUACAACAACAACUGCUGCUGCUGAAGC
rnacentral:lncRNA from 1 species